rnacentral:rRNA from 1 species
GAUGAACGCUGGCGGCGUGCUUAACACAUGCAAGUCGAACGAUGAAGCCUCACUUGUGGGGUGGAUUAGUGGCGAACGGGUGAGUAACACGUGAGCAACCUGCCCUGGACUCUGGGAUAAGCGCUGGAGACGGUGUCUAAUACUGGAUAUGAGCUCUCAUCGCAUGGUGGGGGUUGGAAAGAGUUUUCGGUCUGGGAUGGGCUCGCGGCCUAGCAGCUUGUUGGUGCGGUAAUGGCUUACCAAGGCGUCGACGGGUAGCCGGCCUGAGAGGGUGAGCGGCCACACUGGGACUGAGACACUGCCCAGACUCCUACGGGAGGCAGCAGUGGGGAAUAUUGCACAAUGGGCGGAAGCCUGAUGCAGCAACGCCGCGUGGGGGAUGACGGCCUUCGGGUUGUAAACCUCUUUUAGCAAGGAAGAAGCUUUUUGUGACGGUACUUGCAUAAAAAGCGCCGGCUAACUACGUGCCAGCAGCCGCGGUAACAC